UGGGGAAUUUUGGACAAUGGGCGAAAGCCUGAUCCAGCAAUGCCGCGUGUGUGAAGAAGGCCUUCGGGUUGUAAAGCACUUUUGUCCGGAAAGAAAUCCUUGGCUCUAAUACAGUCGGGGGAUGACGGUACCGGAAGAAUAAGCACCGGCUAACUACGUGCCAGCAGCCGCGGUAAUACGUAGGGUGCAAGCGUUAAUCGGAAUUACUGGGCGUAAAGCGUGCGCAGGCGGUUUGCUAAGACCGAUGUGAAAUCCCCGGGCUCAACCUGGGAACUGCAUUGGUGACUGGCAGGCUAGAGUAUGGCAGAGGGGGGUAGAAUUCCACGUGCAGCAGUGAAAUGCGUAGAGAUGUGGAGGAAUACCGAUGGCGAAGGCAGCCCCUUGGGCCAAUACUGACGCUCAUGCACGAAAGCGUGGGGAGCAAACAGGAUUAGAUACCCUGGUAGUCCACGCCCUAAACGAUGUCAACUAGUUGUUGGGGAUUCAUUUCCUUAGUAACGUAGCUAACGCGUGAAGUUGACCGCCUGGGGAGUACGGUCGCAAGAUUAAAACUCAAAUGAAUUGACGGGGUCAUAGCUGUUUCCU
rnacentral:rRNA from 1 species